UUGGGAGUGUCUGGCUGAGGCAACCAGGGGAUCUGGUGGUGUCCCACUGCCAGCCCCUGCAGCCUGAGCCUUCCUCCCCCAGGGAGGAGGAUGAGGGUGUGCAAGGUGGUCUCUGGUCCUGGUGGCAGCACAGAACUGAGCGAUGCCAUGCUGCCUCUCCCUGUGCCAGCUGCAGUGGGAUCCUCAUCGAUCGUGUUGGUCUUGGAUGUGUGGCUGAUUCCCACCCCCUGCUCCUCCUCAGCUGCCACCACGUAACCGGUUCUGCCCCGCUGUGCAAUGGGGCACUGCUCGCCCUUGGCCCUGCAAAACAGCACCCCCUGAGCAGGGCUGCCACCCUCCUGCCGCUGUCCCUUUUGUGGUGACAUCCGAGGUGUGACAGUGAAGGUUUGUGUCUCUCAGGAGCAGCCUCAGCCGCCCCACCCGAUGCACCUGUGGGUCUGACACCCUCCUCCCCCGGCCUGGCAGCACCCAUGGGUGCUCUCCCAGCGUGGGCAGGUGACAAAAGCCAUUCUGCUCAUCAGAAUGAAUCGCUGGCUGGGCUUCACACACCGCCGUGAUUCCUCAGCGCCCCUGGCUCUAGAAAUGGUCUUUCCUAAAUGAAAGCUCAGCAGGUCUCUGAUGGACUCUCAGCUCUGCCCCUUUUGCAGCAGCUGGGUUUUUUUUUUUUAAUUGUUAUUAAUUUUUUUUUUUUUCCCCAGAGGAUGAUGGCAAUUCCCUGGGGCUUGGUGUAACUUGGGCGUGGGGUUUGCUUCCCUGCAAAUUGUGGCAGCGAUGUAGUGUUACUGGAGGUGCUGAGCCCAUCCCAGUUUGGGGCUGGGAUACCCUAGUGAUGGGUGUAGCUAACCAGCCUUGUUUGUUGCAAAUCCAUAGGGAUUUGAUGGAUGUCAAUGUUCAUUAAGGUUUUGGUGAAUCAGUUGAGCUGAUUUGAGGUUCGGCAAGGAGAAAAUAACAAAGCAAGAAGAAAUCCAGUGCCACAGCGAGGAACAAUGCGAUUUUAGCUUUCCUUCAUAAAGAAAUAGGGCUCUGGAGGUCCUGGUCUGUGCAGGGGCAUCCCCAAAGCUUUUGGAUGCCUGUGGGUGG
ensembl:lncRNA